UGGGGAAUUUUCCGCAAUGGGCGCAAGCCUGACGGAGCAAUACCGCGUGAGGGAGGAAGGCUUUUGGGUUGUAAACCUCUUUUCUCAAGGAAGAAGUACUGACGGUACUUGAGGAAUAAGCCUCGGCUAACUCCGUGCCAGCAGCCGCGGUAAUACGGAGGAGGCAAGCGUUAUCCGGAAUUAUUGGGCGUAAAGCGUCCGUAGGUGGCGAUUCAAGUCUGCUGUUAAAGCGUGGAGCUUAACUCCAUACAGGCAGUGGAAACUGGGUAGCUAGAGUGCGGUAGGGGUAGAGGGAAUUCCCAGUGUAGCGGUGAAAUGCGUAGAUAUUGGGAAGAACACCGGUGGCGAAGGCGCUCUACUGGGCCUGCACUGACACUGAGGGACGAAAGCUAGGGGAGCGAAAGGGAUUAGAUACCCCUGUAGUCC
rnacentral:rRNA from 1 species